UCACAGACUAUACAUUGAUGGUCCAUUUGGAAGUCCAUUUGAGGAAUCACUGAACUAUGAGGUUAGCCUUUGUGUGGCUGGAGGCAUUGGAGUAACUCCAUUUGCAUCAAUACUCAACACCCUGAUGGAUGACUGGAAACCAUACAAGCUUAGAAGACUGUAUUUUAUUUGGGUGUGCAGAGACAUUCAAUCCUUCCAUUGGUUUGCAGACUUACUUUGUAUGUUGCAUAACAAGUUUUGGCAAGAGAACAGACCUGACUAUGUCAACAUCCAGCUGUACCUCAGUCAAACAGAUGGGAUACAG